rnacentral:rRNA from 1 species
ACUUAACUUGGAGUCCGAACUCUCACUUUCUAACCCUGUGCACUUGUUUGGGAUAGUAACUCUCGCAAGAGAGCGAACUCCUAUUCACUUAUAAACACAAAGUCUAUGAAUGUAUUAAAUUUUAUAACAAAAUAAAACUUUCAACAACGGAUCUCUUGGCUCUCGCAUCGAUGAAGAACGCAGCGAAAUGCGAUAAGUAAUGUGAAUUGCAGAAUUCAGUGAAUCAUCGAAUCUUUGAACGCACCUUGCGCUCCAUGGUAUUCCGUGGAGCAUGCCUGUUUGAGUGUCAUGAAUACUUCAACCCUCCUCUUUCUUAAUGAUUGAAGAGGUGUUUGGUUUCUGAGCGCUGCUGGCCUUUACGGUCUAGCUCGUUCGUAAUGCAUUAGCAUCCGCAAUCGAACUUCGGAUUGACUUGGCGUAAUAGACUAUUCGCUGAGGAAUUCUAGUCUUCGGAUUAGAGCCGGGUUGGGUUAAAGGAAGCUUCUAAUCAGAAUGUCUACAUUUUAAGAUUAG